UGUCCCUUUUGUUCCUUCUGCCCUUUUGGUAGCAACCUGCAAGAAGCAAUUCAGGAGUUUACUUGGAUUGCUAUUUCUCAAAUUCCAUCCAAUAAAGUCAAGCAAAUGGGUCUCUGUAAGCAGAUGACUAAACCAAAACACAUUUUCUAAAGAUAGUUUAGACUUGAAGUGUCACCAGGGAAUAAAGAGAUUUCUCUCCAUGCUCCCAACUGGAGACAGGCGGGGAAAAAAAAAUUGUCAUCAAAGACCUAUCAUUCAAUGAACCAGGAAAAGAUCUGACUUCAUCUCUGACAAGUAGGGCAUUGCAAACAAAAUUGUUCCUUGCUGAUGACUGCAGUGAGGACUGGCAGACACUGAGCUGUAAAUACCAGGAGUUCAUAAUAUUUCCUGUGGGAUGAAACACGGACUGCUUAACAAAAUUAGCAGGACUGUUCCAAAACCCCUUCCCAGAGCUCAAGAUCUGACCACACCCUGAAUGCUGGGACCACACAUGAACAUGCAGAUCUGCUGUCUCAAAGCAACAAGACAAAAUUACAGUGGAAUCACCACCCAACUAAUAAAUCUUACUGUCGAUGUUGAGGUCCAAAGCAGAAGUAUUUCCAGACGAACAGCUUAGUACAGGGUCUAAGACAUUACCUUCAAGGCUGGCACAUACAGAGUAGACUGGAAACGAGACAACUGUAGAGGACUAUGGUGUCACUUGGACACUUCUUGCCACAGGUUCUUGAGCAGAUUUUGUCCACAGAAGAGUUAAAAUAAGACUGGGAAAGAAGAUUUUGGAAGAACUACAAUAAAAGACAAACAUUUCUUCUCCACUCGUGCAACUUCUGUAUUUCUGAAGUGUUACUGAGGGCUUGUCGGGGCUGCAGUCAACAGUUUGCCAGAAAUUCAGAAUUCAAAGUCAAGCUUAAUUUGAAAAGACUGUUGGCUAAUCAGUUUUUGGCUUUCAUUGGCAAAUGAUGUAUGAAACCCUGUCAGUAGCUGCAUAUUUUAUUCAAUUGUUCUGUCUGAAAGUUAGACAGAGCAGAGUAGGGUUUACAGAGGAAAGGGUGAGCAUGACGAAGUGGAAAGGGAGAAAAUGUUGACCCCACAACAAACAAUAGUGUGUUAAAGUGAUUAAUUAAUUAUUCUGAGGGAUUUCUCUAUUGAUCCAAAUUAAGCCCUUGCUAAUUCAUUGUGCAUAUGAGAAAUUUCAUGUCAAAUGAAGUUUGUUAGCCUUCUGCUACUCUGUUCUUGUAGGCAGUAUGAACAACGCAGACUUGAUCAAUUACAGGCCUGCAUGAUACUAGUAUGAUUCCAUUCACUCACUGGACCAUGUCAGGUCAAAAAAGUGUUUCCUUCAGUGUACUUCACACUCUGCCUCCUAAUCUUGCAAAGCCAGGAUGUUACACUGGAAAGGGUACAGAGCAGUAGAAAGGCAUAAUACAGAAUCACAGAAAGGGGUGCUGUUGUAGCAGCUAGUAAAUCUCCACUGAGCAUCAAAAUACCCCAGAUAAGUAAGUAAAACCGCAGAAACAGUGUGUACCACUGCCCAAGGUCAAAUGACAAGAUCAGCACAAAGGCAAGUAGAUUUUAUAGAGGAGUUUUCACUGUAAGGUCAUGAUCCUUAGAAACCUCUGAGUUGCAUGCACUAAGAGCAGAUAAGCCCACGAAGUGAAGGUCAGAAAAGCAAAAGAAGCUUGAUCCUGCAGGCAAGCCAAAAUACAAAACAAAACUGAGGAAACUGUUUCUUGGGAGAAGUGUUAAAAUUCAAAGCAAUUGUCUUUUAUUUGUCAGACUCUUGUUCAGGAAAAAUGUGGUUUAUAAUUUUUUUU